UACGGGGAGGCAGCAGUGGGGAAUAUUGGACAAUGGGCGCAAGCCUGAUCCAGCCAUGCCGCGUGAGUGAUGAAGGCCUUAGGGUUGUAAAGCUCUUUCACCGGAGAAGAUAAUGACGGUAUCCGGAGAAGAAGCCCCGGCUAACUUCGUGCCAGCAGCCGCGGUAAUACGAAGGGGGCUAGCGUUGUUCGGAAUUACUGGGCGUAAAGCGCACGUAGGCGGAUAUUUAAGUCAGGGGUGAAAUCCCAGAGCUCAACUCUGGAACUGCCUUUGAUACUGGGUAUCUUGAGUAUGGAAGAGGUAAGUGGAAUUCCGAGUGUAGAGGUGAAAUUCGUAGAUAUUCGGAGGAACACCAGUGGCGAAGGCGGCUUACUGGUCCAUUACUGACGCUGAGGUGCGAAAGCGUGGGGAGCAAACAGGAUU
rnacentral:rRNA from 1 species